GACGUAGGUGGCGAGCGUUGUUCGGAAUCACUGGGCAUAAAGCGCACGUAGGCGGCCAAGUCAGUCAGGUGUGAAAUACCUCGGCCCAACCGAGGAACUGCGCCUGAUACUGCUUGGCUUGAGGUCCGGAGGGGAGAGUGGAAUUCCCGGUGGAGCGGUGAAAUGCGUAGAGAUCGGGAAGAACGCCGGCGGCGAAAGCGACUCUCUGGUCGGAAUCUGACGCUGAGGUGCGAAAGCUAGGGAGCAAACAGG
rnacentral:rRNA from 1 species